GCGCGUUCUUCGGGGCGGGGUCUGGGGAGGCCCCGCGGAGCCCGCGGUUCGAGUCCCGGCAGGGCCGGCCCGGGCGCCCCCCGCAGACCCGCGCAGAGCGGGGGGAGGAGCCGCCACCGCCCCCUCCCCGUCGGGAUAAAGACCGGAUAAAGACCGACCGCACCUGCGGAGCACACCUGGGAAGAGGCCCGGCCACACCACCAUGACAUUUCAACCUUCCCCCUGCACCGGUUGUGUUUUUCAGGGUUGUUUUUUAUUUUUUGGGGGGGUGCUUUUUUUAUUUUUCUUUUAGCCUUUUUUUUUUUUGCCUCUCCUCCCCUUGCAAAACUCCCCCGCAGGACGGGACACGCCAAAGCUUAGUGCCACGCAAAUAAAGGACCGGCCGUUUUCUCCUGUUUCACCUCCUCUGGGAUUCUGUUCAAAAGAAGGAUGAGAAGAAGAAAAGAAACAGUCCCUGAAUUUCUUUACUUACCAGCUGUUUUAGUUUCCUGUCUCCUUAGUAUUUUUUUUAUUAUUAUUAUUUUGGUUUAAAGUUAAGUAAAGCAGUUACAAGCCAGGAUUGGUACCUAGUUAACCCAGCCAGGUGAGUGAACAGCACGACCACGUGCUCUUAUAUAUUGUAUCAAACUGUUGUGAAGUGGGGGAGCGUCGUGGCCGGGAGUCACUUUGUGCAGAGGUGGUUGCUCUGGAAGAUGCAGGAGGCUGUAACGAGGUGUAUUAAUACUCUUGGUACAGCAGAAGCGCUGCUUUUUCCAUAGGAACAUCAACCACCCUUUGCUGAUGGGAAACUGAGGCCAGGAAACAGCUUUUAGAAAGAAAAAUGCAAACAUUUUAAACAUUUCCUAUGGGUAUUCUAAGUCACAAGUAGCAGCGAAGGCAUUCAACGCAGCGAUUGAUGAUACAUGGAGAGAUUCCCUAACACAAUAUCCUAAACUGGUAAGAGUUGUGGUUAUUCCUGGCCUUUAAGAACAAUGUAAUUCUGUUAGAAUCUGGGGAGUUGCUCUGGAUUUACAUUAGUGCAAUGAAAACCGCCAUUGGUAAGAAUUUAGCUUCAUUUCAACCAGUUGAUUCUUCUCUUGAUUUUUCCAUGUAAGUCACUUGAAAAGUAUUUUCUUAACUAUCCAAAGAUACCAUAAAAAAGCUAAAUAUUUAAGAAAGCAGUUGUAUGUUAUUUUUUCCUUAUAGACAAAGCUUUAAGUUGCUUCAGUUUGACAAGUUUGCUGAGUACUCUGAAGUGCAAAAGUCCCGUAUAGCGAUGUGGCGGUAGAGAUGCUGAAAUAAGGGCCAGGUGAGCUGGAUCUGGAGAGGCAGAGCUGAUCCAGGGGAUCGGAGGAGCCAGGGGGGCUCAGGUUGCUUUUUCCCCCCUUUCUGUGGAUGUCUCGGUUGUGCUGGCUGUUGGGUACCAACAAAAGACUCCAAAGGCCUCCUCGCUCGCUUUUAAACCAGAGAAUCAUGAGCUUUUUAAGUGACUUCAGCUCCUGCUGUAAAAAUCGGGUUCCUCUCCAAGAGCAACGCACGGUGGGAAAGCCAGCCACAAAUUUAGCUUAUUACUACGUUAUAAACUCGCUCUAAAUCAAGAGAAAUGCAAAGCUGUUUUCCCUUUGAAAAGCUCUAGUGGCCAAUUUGAAGCAAAGGCUCUGGAAAAGCGUGGGGGUAACACAGGAGUAAGGCAGAAAAAUGGAAACCCCUGAGCGAGCAGCAGAAGGUGCUUUGAUUAGAACAUUUCCUAGGAUAGGUCAUUUUCAGACAUAACACCUGGAUCAGGUAGAGGCUGCAGAAAAGUAUUGACCUCUGGAAGUCACGCUUGGUGUCAGAUCUGAGCUUUGGAAAGCAGGUUGGUUUGGUUUUGUUGUGUCUUUUUACCCUUAAUUUUAAAUACAAGCUUAUGUUACAGUGCAACAAAUUAUUAUAUACUUUUCCAAACAGGAUUAUGAGCACAUUUGCAAGCACGCAAGGCUUUGUACUAAAAGUUUCAAGGGCUUGCAACCACCAGGCCUAACGCAAAGUGCGUUUAAUGUAACAAAUGCAAUGAGUGCAUCUGUCUUUAUCUCUUAGUUCCCCUACAGACAAAGGAAUCCAGAAGCAUUUGCUCACUUUAAAGUUCAGGGAAGUCCAGUAUGAUUUUAUCUGACCUUUAGUUAAAGGUUUGCCACUUGUGAGGAUGUGGCAGAUCUUUGCAGCUGCUCAGGUGGAUGCAAAUACUGCAGCCCAACUCUCCCCAGGGAGAGGCAAAAAGCAAAUGGUAUCUCCUUAAAAGAUCAGGAAAAAACCAACCCACCCAUGCGGGUAGCCUUUAAUUUACUUUAAAUUUGUUGUUCAAGAUUGAGGGUGGUGGGUCCCUGGAGCCUGCAUUUCUAGUUUGUUUUAUUUCCAUUGUUUUAAUGUAAGAUUUUGCUGAUAAGCACCUUGAGUUAAUAACCCGAGCUGUUCCUGGAGGAAGCUCAGUCCAGCCUUGCAGCUGGUUUUACCUCCCGGGGAAACCGGCUUUGUGAAGUCCCGGCACGCAGUGGUUAAUCGCCGGGAGCUGCACACCAGGCAUUGCUGCUGCUAAAGCCCGUUGUAACUUGCCUGAUAAAAGGCAUUUCAAAUAAGCCAGGAUUGCACAGAGGAAUUUGGGCUGAUGGGUUCCUGCCUAGGCCGCCCUUUCUCAGGACUUACCCAAAAGCUUUUAACAUGUCUUGACAAAACCGAGGGAGCGGCUUCGAUGCAGCAACAGACAGCAGGCUUAUAUUGAAGAGCAAAAGCGAGUGAGAAACACCCCAAGCUAUUUGUUCAGUUAAAUCCUCUACCAGCACCCCCAUGGUCCCCGCUUUUUUUUUCCCCAGGUACACGCAAGCAUUUCAGUUCAUCUUUAAGUCAAGCUUUUGCACCUAACCCAUCUUUCCCCAAGCUGCAAAGUACAAGCAAACACAAAGUUGAAAUCUUAAGUUACCCAAGUGCAUGGGAGAAUUGCCAAAAGAUGCUGCUCCUCAGAACCAGACCCUACAAUUCCCUCCUCACUUGGAAAGUGCCAGUUUUCCCAGGCAUCGAGGAGGCAGGAACUGUGAGCUGGGUCCCUUCAUUUGGCUUCGUGUCCCUGCGAGGCAAAGCCACCCAAAUUGGAAACAAUAUUUGCCAUUUCUUGCUGUGCUAUGGUGAACCUGCACUCACACUAUUUGUCUAUUCCAGGCUAUUUUACUGUUUUCAAUUCUUUAGACAAGAGGCAACAUACAAUACUAAGUAUAUCCAUUAUACUCAGUGUUAAUUUUACACGUAAAAACAGGACAUCUCUAAAAAGAUUAAAAUACUUAUCAUCAAAUUCCUUUGCAAGAAUCUCAGAAACAUCUUUACUGCAUAGAUGCAGGGCUGGGUUGUGUUGGUUUGGGGGAGGGAGAAAUAUUUCUAACAAGUUAUUUUUGUCUCUUUCACAGAUUGGAAGUUCUUUGGAAGAGGCUGCACAUCUUUUAGAGUCCGAACAGCACUUGGCUUAACUAUUCAAACCUUCGUAGUCCCUUAGGGCAAUCCCGUAAUAGACAUAACGCAUUUCAUGGAUGAAAUAAGGUGUGUGCAUGAGCAGUGGCGACGCCACGUUGGGACACGCGAUGUGUUCCUUGCUCUGCCCAUGCAGACUCCAAUUCCCAUAUCAUGACCAAACUAAGAUUACUUCUCCCCUCUCCAGCCUAAAGGGAAGUAGUAGCUCAACACAUUCUCAUUAAUGCCAAAGGUCUUUAAAAAGAACCAGUACACAGAUUAAAAUUGCCUGCUGGCAUCGUUUGGAUUUUGCAAAUUCAAAGCUUUAAGGCCAGCUUAAAGGAGCUUUGGCGGUUAUCUUGUUGGAGCUCCCUUGUAAAAGCCAUAAAAGCUCAAACCUUUGGGCGUUUAAUUUGGAGAAGCUCCUGGGAAUGUAAGGCCUUUGCAGGUGGAGAUUUGCCAUUUCCUUUGGUAAGUUGUUCUCACAGUUAACACUACAAAGCAGACCUGGCUGCUUUGUUCCAGGCAAAAAUUAAACAGAAUGAAAAACAGGGAUAUGGGGGGGGAAAUAAAGUUUCAGUCUGUAGCAUCCCCAUAAGAACUGACCACAGAGUUUUACGCCUCCUACAUAUGAUUCGAACAUCACGGGUAUACCAGCUCUGCCUCCCCAAAAGAUUUCAGUGGAGUGAAGUACGAGAGACAUGGAGAUGAAUCAGCAAGGAGAGGAGCCGCUCCCCACGUGCGGAGAAGGGAAAUGGCGUGGAAAUUCAGAUACACCGGGCACUCAAAGACCGAGCGCGCUGGGAAGCAGAGAGGAGUUGUACACCGAGCAUUUGAAUAACCCAAAUAUUUCUUGAAAGUCUCCAGUAAGAACCUGUUUUGAGAAUGUACUUGCUUUCUGCAUAACGUGUAAAGAUUAAAAAAAAAAACUAGUAAGAACACAAGCUGCUUUCUGGAAGGCUUAAAUACCUUACUAGCAAGAAAUUAAUCCCUAAUGUGAAUAAAUUAGAUGGGUAACCUCA